rnacentral:rRNA from 1 species
CCUACGGGAGGCAGCAGUGGGGAAUAUUGCACAAUGGGGGAAACCCUGAUGCAGCGACGCCGCGUGAGCGAAGAAGUAUUUCGGUAUGUAAAGCUCUAUCAGCAGGGAAGAUAAUGACGGUAUCUGACCAAGAAGCCCCGGCUAACUACGUGCCAGCAGCCGCGGUAAUACGUAGGGGGCAAGCGUUAUCCGGAUUUACUGGGUGUAAAGGGAGCGUAGACGGCAGCACAAGUCUGGAGUGAAAUCCCGGGGCUUAACCCCGGAACUGCUUUGGAAACUGUGCGGCUGGAGUGCAGGAGGGGUAAGCGGAAUUCCUAGUGUAGCGGUGAAAUGCGUAGAUAUUAGGAGGAACACCGGUGGCGAAGGCGGCUUACUGGACUGUAACUGACGUUGAGGCUCGAAAGCGUGGGGAGCAAACAGGAUUAGAUACCCUUGUAGUC